rnacentral:rRNA from 1 species
GUGAAGGUGUGUCGUGAGGCAUGCUGGAGGUAUCAGAAGUGCGAAUGCUGACAUAAGUAACGAUAAAGCGGGUGAAAAGCCCGCUCGCCGGAAGACCAAGGGUUCCUGUCCAACGUUAAUCGGGGCAGGGUGAGUCGACCCCUAAGGCGAGGCCGAAAGGCGUAGUCGAUGGGAAACGGGUUAAUAUUCCCGUACUUGGUGUUACUGCGAAGGGGGGACGGAGAAGGCUAUGUUGGCCGGGCGACGGUUGUCCCGGUUUAAGCGUGUAGGUGUGUGUUCCAGGUAAAUCCGGUUCACUUUAACACUGAGGCGUGACGACGAGGCACUACGGUGCUGAAGCAACAAAUGCCCUGCUUCCAGGAAAAGCCUCUAAGCAUCAGGUAACAUCAAAUCGUACCCCAAACCGACACAGGUGGUCAGGUAGAGAAUACCAAGGCGCUUGAGAGAACUCGGGUGAAGGAACUAGGCAAAAUGGUGCCGUAACUUCGGGAGAAGGCACGCUGACACGUAGGUGAAGUGAUUUACUCAUGGAGCUGAAGUCAGUCGAAGAUACCAGCUGGCUGCAACUGUUUAUUAAAAACACAGCACUGUGCAAACACGAAAGUGGACGUAUACGGUGUGACGCCUGCCCGGUGCCGGAAGGUUAAUUGAUGGGGUCAGCGCAAGCGAAGCUCCUGAUCGAAGCCCCGGUAAACGGCGGCCGUAACUAUAACGGUCCUAAGGUAGCGAAAUUCCUUGUCGGGUAAGUUCCGACCUGCACGAAUGGCGUAAUGAUGGCCAGGCUGUCUCCACCCGAGACUCAGUGAAAUUGAACUCGCUGUGAAGAUGCAGUGUACCCGCGGCAAGACGGAAAGACCCCGUGAACCUUUACUAUAGCUUGACACUGAACAUUGAGCCUUGAUGUGUAGGAUAGGUGGGAGGCUUUGAAGUGUGGACGCCAGUCUGCAUGGAGCCGACCUUGAAAUACCACCCUUUAAUGUUUGAUGUUCUAACGUGGACCCGUUACCCGGGUUGCGGACAGUGUCUGGUGGGUAGUUUGACUGGGGCGGUCUCCUCC